rnacentral:rRNA from 1 species
AAUGCGAUAAGUAAUGUGAAUUGCAGAAUUCAGUGAAUCAUCGAAUCUUUGAACGCACCUUGCGCCCCUUGGUAUUCCGAGGGGCACGCCUGUUUGAGUGUCGUGAAA